rnacentral:rRNA from 1 species
UUCCGGUUGAUCCUGCCGGAGGUCACUGCUAUCGGGGUUCGAUUAAGCCAUGCGAGUCGAGAGGGUUCAGACCCUCGGCGGACUGCUCAGUAACACGUGGAUAAUCUGCCCUAUAGUGGAGGAUAACCCCGGGAAACUGGGGAUAAUACUCCAUAAGUCAGGAGUACUGGAAUGUCUCCUAACUGAAAGUUUCGGCGCCAUAGGAUGAAUCUGCGGCCGAUUAGGUAGUUGUUGGGGUAACGGCCCAACAAGCCCGUAAUCGGUACGGGUUGUGGGAGCAAGAGCCCGGAGAUGGAAUCUGAGACACGAUUCCAGGCCCUACGGGGCGCAGCAGGCGCGAAAACUUUACAAUGCAGGAAACUGUGAUAAGGGAACCCCGAGUGCCCGUACACGCGGGCUGUCCCGGUGUUUAAAACACAUCGGAAGAAAGGGCCGGGCAAGACCGGUGCCAGCCGCCGCGGUAAUACCGGCGGCUCGAGUGGUGACCACUUUUAUUGGGCUUAAAGCGUUCGUAGCUUGAUUUUUAAGUCUCUUGGGAAAUCUCACGGCUUAACUGUGAGGCGUCUAAGAGAUACUGGGAAUCUAGGGGCCGGGAGAGGUAAGAGGUACUUCAGGGGUAGAAGUGAAAUUCUGUAAUCCUUGAGGGACCACCGAUGGCGAAGGCAUCUUACCAGAACGGCUUCGACAGUGAGGAACGAAAGCUGGGGGAGCGAACGGGAUUAGAUACCCCGGUAGUCCCAGCCGUAAACUAUGCGCGUUAGGUGUGCCUGUAACUACGAGUUACCGGGGUGCCGAAGUGAAAACGUGAAACGUGCCGCCUGGGAAGUACGGUCGCAAGGCUGAAACUUAAAGGAAUUGGCGGGGGAGCACCACAACGGGUGGAGCCUGCGGUUUAAUUGGAUUCAACGCCGGG